UAUAUCUAUAAAUAUUUAUAAAUAUAUGGAUUUGAAUAACGUCAGGACCCAUUUUGUUGUGUCCAUAAUUUUCUGCUGUAUUUUAUCAUAUUUUCUUCCUUUUUCACAGAAUGGUGAGAUUUAGGAAGUGCGCUGUGAAAGGAUGUGGGGGCACUCAGUCUACUAGGCACUGAUUUCCUAACUCAAAAAGGAAAUGGGAAGGUUCCAGAAAUGGGUAGAAGCUUGUGGCAAUAGGUACAGCUUUAACAACCUUAACACCCGAUCUUAUAUAUCGAUCAUAUAGUUUGUGUCACAUUCAGUUCAGAACUGAGGAUAAAUCCACAAAUAUGUAUUUUCAAAAGGGAAAUCUCUGGAAAGGUAGUCCCUAUGCUACACUUACCUUUUCCUGCACCACCUAUUGAUAGUUUAGAAGUUGACAUACCAACAUCCACUGUUACCCAUGAAGUUAUCGACGAUGCAUUUCUUGAAGAGCAAAAUGUGCCGUUACAUGUCUACAGCAAACAAACAAACAAAGAUAGCCCACGAUCAACCAAGUACUUCAUCAGUUGAAGUAAUCGGGGAACAUGCUAGUACUUCAUUUAGUGAAUAUCGAGAAGUGAUAUGUACAACACCUGUAAUGGAUAAGCGUAAGUUGAUUUGUUAUAAUGAUGUCAAAUUUGUCCGUAUAUAAAUAAAAAUGUACCAAUCUGAAAUUCAGGUACACGGUAUGUUCUUGUAAGAUAAUAGUAAUGUAAUUGUCAUGAAUGCGAGAUCUUAUUGUAAUAUAUGCAGAUAUAUAGGUAGGUAUUAUGUAUAAUCUUUGUAACCUGAAUAUUAUGGGAAGUAUGCGUUAUAUUAUUAUUUUUAUGUAAUUGUUGUACACAAAGUACCUACAAUAUUAUAUAUUCAUUAUAUCGGUUAGUGAUAAAAUUAGAUGUUAUUCUUGUUUGCUUUAAGUUUCGUUUUGAAAGUUUGUAACAAGAUAUAACUACUAACAAUAAUAUAUAUUAACGUUUAUGUUUUCGAUCACUUUAAAAUCUUAAUAAAGCAGCCAUAUGAACAUGCGCGAACUUGUAAACAAAAUCAAAAUAGUCGACAAUGACGGACAAAUUUGAAAAUAUUUGAACCACCGAUUUGAAAUUAAGAUGUAUACUAUAUAAAAUAUGGUUACUCGUUAGAUUCGUACUUUUAGGAAUUUUUGGAAUCGUCUCGAUAUGUAACAGUUUAUAUGUUUACAUCAUAAGUGCCCUCGUCUUUAUUUUAGAUGUGUGUUAAUGAUAAUAUAA